rnacentral:rRNA from 1 species
AUUGAACGCUGGCGGCAUGCCUUACACAUGCAAGUCGAACGGCAGCACGGGAGCAAUCCUGGUGGCGAGUGGCGAACGGGUGAGUAAUAUAUCGGAACGUGCCCAGUAGUGGGGGAUAGCCCGGCGAAAGCCGGAUUAAUACCGCAUACGACCUACGGGUGAAAGCGGGGGAUCGCAAGACCUCGCGCUAUUGGAGCGGCCGAUAUCAGAUUAGCUAGUUGGUGGGGUAAAAGCCUACCAAGGCGACGAUCUGUAGCUGGUCUGAGAGGACGACCAGCCACACUGGGACUGAGACACGGCCCAGACUCCUACGGGAGGCAGCAGUGGGGAAUUUUGGACAAUGGGCGCAAGCCUGAUCCAGCCAUGCCGCGUGUGGGAAGAAGGCCUUCGGGUUGUAAACCACUUUUGUCAGGGAAGAAACGGCUCUUACUAAUAUUAGGA